rnacentral:rRNA from 1 species
UACGGAGGGUGCGAGCGUUAAUCGGAAUUACUGGGCGUAAAGCGCGCGUAGGCGGUUUGUUAAGUCAGCUGUGAAAGCCCCGGGCUCAACCUGGGAACUGCAGUUGAUACUGUCCGACUAGAGUACGAGAGAGGGAGGUAGAAUUCCAUGUGUAGCGGUGAAAUGCGUAGAUAUAUGGAGGAAUACCAGUGGCGAAGGCGGCCUCCUGGCUCGAUACUGACGCUGAGACACGAAAGCGAGGGGAGCAAACAGG